rnacentral:rRNA from 1 species
AGCGAACGCUGGCGGCAGGCCUAACACAUGCAAGUCGAACGAACCUUUCGGGGUUAGUGGCGGACGGGUGAGUAACACGUGGGAACGUGCCUUUAGGUGCGGAAUAACUCAGGGAAACUUGUGCUAAUACCGAAUGUGCCCUUCGGGGGAAAGAUUAAUCGCCUUUAGAGCGGCCCGCGUCUGAUUAGCUAGUUGGUUGAGGUAAUGGCUCCCCAAGGCGACGAUCAGUAGCUGGUCUGAGAGGAUGAUCAGCCACAUUGGGACUGAGACACGGCCCAAACUCCUACGGGAGGCAGCAGUGGGGAAUCUUGCGCAAUGGGCGAAAGCCUGACGCAGCCAUGCCGCGUGAAUGAUGAAGGUCUUAGGAUUGUAAAAUUCUUUAACCGGGGACGAUAAUGACGGUACCCGGAGAAGAAGCCCCGGCUAACUUCGUG